UGUGACCUGGAAUGUGCGACAACUUCUGUAAUUUUGAACCUACAUUUUUGAAUUGGGAUUCUUAUAUCACUGCUGGGAUGUCAGGCCUCCUGAGAGUGGAAGGCAGAAAAGUCAGUUGCGGUUACCCACCUAGCGCUGCUAGGACUCAAAAUAACAGAAACCGGCAUUUUGGGUAAAUG
rnacentral:other from 1 species